rnacentral:tRNA from 8 species
UGCGGGAUGGUGUAGCGGUAGCACCCAUGACUCUGGAUCAUGUUGCCCAGGUUCGAAUCCUGGUCCCGCAGCCA